rnacentral:lncRNA from 1 species
AGUUUUUGGAUUAUGCUUCUCGUACUAAAGGUUUUCGUUUGUGGUGUCCUGAAGAUAAGAAAAUUAUUAUUAGUAGAGAUGUCAAGUUUAACGAAACUGCGAUACUUUGCCGAAAGGAGGAGUCGCGUGUCUCUUGUGAUACAGGUACAGGUGUAGGUGCAGAUGCAGAUGCAGAUGGAUCGAAGAAAACUGUAGAGGUGGAGUUUCAAAC